rnacentral:lncRNA from 1 species
GGUAAUUCCCUGGGUUCCAUACCAGAUCAAUCAAUCUAUUCUUGUGAAUUGCUCUGACAUUGCUAUUGGUGAGUCUUGGCUUGACUGUUCGUUUGUGUCUGAUGUUGAUGCAGGAGAACAAUGUGGGAGAUGAGAAGGCAGACGUGGAUGCAGAAGAGGUGGAGGAUGCGGAGCAGGAGGUGGAUAAGCCAGAAGACGCCCCAGAGGAGGAGGAAGAGGAAGAGGAGAAGAACGAGCUGGAUGAUGACAUCUAGACGGGACUGAAGAAGGGUGCUCGUUUCUGUUUUGUAAAUGGCAGGCGUUCUAUCUGUCCUGGACAACCUGAAUCUUGGCCUAAACUCUAGUAGCAGCAGUAGUGAAUGUUGUGGCUGGUUGCAGUCUGUUUAUCAUUGUUAUGGAAUGGAAGGAAAGCAGGGUUGAUGUGGUGGUCGAUGAAUGAUUGAAUUUUUCUGUCACUGCAUUGCAUUUGCAAUAUAUGUGAAACUAGGAUUUUGUUAAUAUCUU